ACAGCCCACAGAGCCAACUCAUCCUUGUUGCAAAAAGGUGAGAAGAUUUUAAAGUAGAGGUGAUAUGCCUACCGAGCUUAGAAAUAGCUGGUUAUUCAAAAGACGGAUUUAAGUCCAACUUUAAGUUUUAUCAAUUUUACUAAAUAAACCCUAAACUUAAAAGCCAUUCAAAUAAGGUACAGCCUAUUUGAAUAAGGAUACAACCUAUAAUAUAGGGUAAUGUUUAAUUACUUGAUUAAGUGGGCCUAAGAGCAGCCAUCUUUUAAAAAGCGUCCAAGCUUCCUCACUAAACAUUUUUAAUACCACUAUUUAUCCAAAACCCCCAAUCACCACUGAAUGAUCCCAUAAUUAUAUGGAAGACACCAUGCUAGAACUAGUAACAAGAAGACGAACUUCUCCAAAAUGUAAACGUAAGCCUAUAAUAAACCCCUUAC
rnacentral:rRNA from 1 species